ensembl:lncRNA CD2AP-DT CD2AP divergent transcript
GGAGGCGGGACCCGCGCUCCGCGCUAGCCCCUCCUGAGCUCAGGCGGGGCGAAGAGUCGCCUCCAUCCGCCCGCGGCGCUCUCCUACCAGUCUCUUCAGCGCGGCCCUCGAGGCAGAGGCAAAGGCGGCGACAGCUCCUCACCCCUGGCCUCCCCAGGAGCCACGGCGGCGGGAGGGCCCUACCCCGCCCGCCCGACCGCGGUUUUCCCACCCUGGCCGCUCCCGCAGUGGGGAGGGACCCACCGGUUUGCCCAGACCCUCGGCUCCAACCCCGAGCGCCCGCCUAGCCUCGGAGCCCGCCCCUCGCCUCUUCCUUAGCACUCGCAGUUAGAAAAGGCGACACCGUAGACUAAGGUGGGGACCCAGACAGAGGCCGAGAAGGUGCGGGGAGCUGGGACCGGGAGGAGGCAAAUCUCGCGAGAACGCCCUCGUUCUCCCCGCCCCACCCCGCCCCGUCGCGUUCGGGCUCUCUCCCGGUCCCCACGGCUGCUGCCAGGUGCGGUGACGUCACGGCCGGGGGUCGCGCGCCGACCGCGUCCAGGUGCAGCGAGCGGAUGAGGAAGCGGUGCAGAGGAGCUUGGGCUCGCUCUCCCCCCGGAGGCUCGGAACAGCUUGGGCGGGCGUUUGGUCUGGUUUGUCGCCUCAGAUGGAUCAAAAGGUUUCUGCUGAUAGGCAAAGUUGCCCCACUUUCCGCGGCGGCGACGCGGAGUUACUUUCUGCAGCGAAGCAGCCUCGAGGACCUUAAAGGGAAAAGGCGGACAGAAGGAGGGCGAGCGCACUUGAUUUCGACCUUUAAGGGAGGCCCAGAUGCUGCCAGGCCCCUCAGUUUACCUUGCGAAGUUACUUACGGAUCAGCAGCAUUUGGUCUUCGUCGGGUGAGGGAGAAACCUAGGCAUCAAAUAAAUUCUGUUUCACAGAUUCCUUUAGUCUCUUGUCAGCUGAAUGCAACUUUA